rnacentral:misc_RNA from 1 species
GAUGAAGAACGUAGCGAAAUGCGAUACGUAGUGUGAAUUGCAGAAUUCAGUGAAUCAUCGAAUCUUUGAACGCACAUUGCACCUCUCGGUAUUCCGGGUGGUAUGCCUGUUCGAGCGUCAUUUGUACCCUCAAGCUCUGCUUGGUGUUGGGUGUUUGUUCCGCCUCUGUGUGUGAACUCGCCUCAAAACAAUUGGCAGCCGGCGUACUUGUUUCGGAGCGCAGCACAUUUUGCGAUCCAGAUCAACGUACAGCGGCAUCCAAGAAGCCUUAUUUAACGCUCUUGACCUCGGAUCAGGUAGGGAUACCCGCUGAACUUAAGCAUAUCAAUAAGCGGAGGA